CCGGUGUUAAACCGGAGGAAGGUGGGGAGUGACGUCAAGUCCUCAUGGCCUUUAUGUCUGGGGCUACACACGUACUACAAUGGCUGCCACAGAGGGAUGCGAAGUCGUGAGGCGAAGCAAAUCUCAAAAAAGCAGCCUCAGUUCAGAUUGCAGUCUGCAACUCGACUGCAUGAAGGUGGAAUCGCUAGUAAUCGCAGAUCAGCACGCUGCGGUGAAUACGUUCCCGGGCCUU
rnacentral:rRNA from 1 species